rnacentral:siRNA from 1 species
UUGCAAAAGAGAAACGGCUGUCG